UGGGGUAUAGCUGAGUGGAAAAGCAGUCCGCUGUUAACGGAAAGAUCGUAGGUAACGCCUACGGCGACGCUUCGCGAACGAUUCCUACUACCCCAGCCA
rnacentral:tRNA from 1 species